rnacentral:lncRNA from 1 species
AAAUAGACGUGAGAUAAAAUUGUAGUAGAUUGAUAGAUCGAACGCCAAAUAAAAUAAAUCUCUACCUACUAAUAAACCAGCGAUUGCUUCUGGUCGUACGUCGUCUGCACUUUUGCAGAAAAGCCCCUUCGUUUUUGGGAAUUCAAUCCGCAGUCCUAUCUUAAGUGGGUACGUGAGAAAACGCUUCGUUUUUACAUAAACACCCCUGCAUUAGUUACAAUUCUACGUGCGGUCCUUAAUUAAACUGCUUCACCACCAGGGCACCACCACCGCUUAUCCAUUUGCCUUCUCCACCGCCUGGCACGGGCCACAGCUUGCCGCCUGCUUCCACGCCGUAGAAGCCAAGCAAGGGGUGAUGCAUCCUGGCGGAAAAAAAGGAAGGAGGAGGGAAGUGAGAAGGAGGAGGGGUCGCCCUGCUGGUUUGCCGGGGCUGGAGAAGCUCGUGGUUGGGAGCUCCUCUUAUCUGCUUCGGGUGCGAGGCGGCUGAAGCGCUCGGGCUGCAGAGCUGCGGGCGCUGGAUGGGACUUGGUGUAGGUCUCUGGCGAGAUGGGGAUGGCGUGGAGGGGGUCUGGACGCCGGCGGAUCCUUGGCCGGCGGCGCGCGGGCAUCGGGCGGCCAUGGCCGUCUCUCUGUAGAAAAAUAGAAGGCAGAGAGAGCUCUUAGAGAAGAAGCACGGGGGAGAGAAGAGAGAUGGAGGAAGAAGGGGAGGGCUCACCGACGGCGCAGAGGAGGACGCCCGAAUGAGGAAGCGGCAGGUCGUCGUCCUCCACAUCGCCCAGCGCGCGGCUUCUCCGGGCACGGAAUUGCCGCAACUGUUGCUGCUGGCCAGACACCCGUAGCCGCGCACUCACCUGCGGCGAACGGAGGCGGGAGAGGGAGAGUGCCCUGGCUGGCAGGGAGGGGAGGAAGAAGGGAGAGGAGUGGUGGUGGAGGAGAAAGGCAGUGAGAGGAUGUGGUUGGACGAGGCAUGUGGCCUACCGCAGUCAACGCGAGCCGCGAGCAGAGGAAGAAGCGAGAAUGAGCGACGCGGGAUCGGCCGAACCUCUAGGGCAUGGCGCAGGUGGCGAAGGCUAGGCGGUCUGAAUCAGGAGCACGGGGCCGACGACUGGGGCGCACGGCCAGAUCAGGACGAGGCAGAGGAGCUCCAAGGCGCCAGCCUUGGCGGCCUCUGGGUUCAUCGCCGAUUAGGGGGUGCUGCGCUGUCCAGCCACCACGGCCCCGCGCACGUGCGGCUCUUGGCUAGAUUGGAUGGAGAAGAAGAAGAGGACUAGCGCUGGAUUAGGAUGAGCGGAGGAAUUGGCGAUCUGGAUAAAAGAAGGAAAAAAAUAAGACCAACCCAAGGGCUAACCCUCGUUGGCAUUUUUUAUAGGGCAAACUCCGCGAGCAUCAC